GACGAACGCUGGCGGCGUGCUUAACACAUGCAAGUCGAGCGGUAAGGCCCCUUCGGGGUACGACGAGCGGCGAACGGGUGAGUAACACGUGGGUGACCUGCCCUCAGCUCUGGGAUAAGCCUGGGAAACUGGGUCUAAUACCGGAUAUGACUCCAUGACGCAUGUCGUGGGGUGGAAAGCCUUGUGCGGCUGGGGAUGGGCCCGCGGCCUAUCAGCUUGUUGGUGGGGUGAUGGCCUACCAAGGCGACGACGGGUAGCCGGCCUGAGAGGGCGACCGGCCACACUGGGACUGAGACACGGCCCAGACUCCUACGGGAGGCAGCAGUGGGGAAUCUUGCGCAAUGGGCGAAAGCCUGACGCAGCGACGCCGCGUGAGGGAUGAC
rnacentral:rRNA from 1 species